ACGAAGGGUGCUAGCGUUGUUCGGAAUCACUGGGCGUAAAGCGCGCGUAGGCGGCGAUUCAAGUCAGGGGUGAAAUCCUGGGGCUCAACCUCAGAAUUGCCUCUGAAACUGUAUUGCUAGAGUGUCGGAGGGGAUAGCGGAAUUGCUAAUGUAGAGGUGAAAUUCGUAGAUAUUAGCAGGAACACCGGUGGCGAAGGUGGCUAUCUGGACGACAACUGACGCUGAGGUGCGAAAGCGUGGGGAGCAAACAGGA
rnacentral:rRNA from 1 species